CCUACGGGCGGCAGCAGUGGGGGAUAUUGGACAAUGGGGGGAACCCUGAUCCAGCGACGCCGCGUGAGUGAAGAAGUAUUUCGGUAUGUAAAGCCCUAUCAGCAGGGAAGAAGAAAUGACGUUACCUGAGUAAGAAGCCCCGGCUAACUACGUGCCAGCAGCCGCGGUAAUACGUAGGGGGCAAGCGUUAUCCGGAUUUACUGGGUGUAAAGGGAGCGUAGACGGUGAUGCAAGUCUGGUGUGAAAGGCUGGGGCCCAACCCCGGAACUGCUCUGGAAACUAUUUGACUGGAGUGCAGGAGAGGUAGGCGGAAUUCCUAGUGUAGCGGUGAAAUGCGUAGAUAUUAGGAGGAACACCAGUGGCGAAGGCGGCUCACUGGACUGUAACUGACGUUGAGGCUCGAAAGCGUGGGGAGCAAACAGGAUUAGAUACCCUAGUAGUC
rnacentral:rRNA from 1 species